ensembl:snRNA U6 U6 spliceosomal RNA
GUGCUCGCUUCAGCAGCACAUAUAUUAAAACUGGAACGGUACAGAGAAGAUUAGCAUGGCCCCUGCUCAAGGAUGACACACAAAUUCAUUAAGUGUUCCAUUUUUUU